GACGAACGCUGGCGGCGUGCUUAACACAUGCAAGUCGAACGGAAAGGCUCCAGCUUGCUGGCGUACUCGAGUGGCGAACGGGUGAGUAACACGUGGGUAAUCUGCCCUGCACUCUGGGAUAAGCCUGGGAAACUGGGUCUAAUACUGGAUAUGACCUUUCUCCUUAUGGGGGUUGGUGGAAAGUUUUUCGGUGUAGGAUGAGCCCGCGGCCUAUCAGCUUGUUGGUGGGGUGAUGGCCUACCAAGGCGACGACGGGUAGCCGGCCUGAGAGGGUGAUCGGCCACAUUGGGACUGAGAUACGGCCCAGACUCCUACGGGAGGCAGCAGUGGGGAAUAUUGCACAAUGGGCGGAAGCCUGAUGCAGCGACGCCGCGUGAGGGAUGACGGCCUUCGGGUUGUAAACCUCUUUCAGCAGGGACGAAGCGUAAGUGACGGUACCUGCAGAAGAAGCACCGGCUAACUAUGUG
rnacentral:rRNA from 1 species